UACGAAGGGGGCGAGCGUUGUUCGGAAUUACUGGGCGUAAAGCGCGUGCAGGCGGCUAAGUAAGUCAGAUGUGAAAUCCCAAGGCUUAACCUUGGAACUGCAUUUGAAACUGCUUGGCUAGAGAUCGGUAGAGGAUGGCGGAAUUCCUAGUGUAGAGGUGAAAUUCGUAGAUAUUAGGAGGAACACCAGUGGCGAAGGCGGCCAUCUGGGCCGAUACUGACGCUAUAGCGCGAAAGCGUGGGGAGCAAACAGG
rnacentral:rRNA from 1 species